rnacentral:lncRNA from 1 species
AAAUUUUUUCUCAUUCUUGCCGCCAUCAUGCUCUAAGGCAGAUAAGGUAGCAAAUAGAGAACCCCUUAGCAUUCGCUUGAUUUUUACCUAAAAAUUUGUCCUUCGAACUUAAGUUGUGCCACGAUUACCUCCCAACGAUCAUCCAUGGUCCGUAGGUUUCUAAUGCCUCUACUAUUUUAUCCUUCUCCGGUUGAACCUCCACGGUUGCUAUCUCCUUAUAACCAUCGCGGCCCAACUCUAGACCUUUAGAUGGGAAAAGGUCACGUACAUGCCCGUAACGGCUACACGAAAAAUAAACUACUGGUAAGGAUUCGUAUUCGACUCUCUACAAUGUGUUUUUCAUCAAUAUUUGAGAGAUUAGCGAUUUGUCGAUAUUAAUGAAAAUCGCCAUUCGAGUGAACCUCCCUCUUGAGCCACUGCUGUGUUAAAAUCUAAUUUAGCAACUUUACCUAUUAGACCACCUAUUUCUUCCAAGAUUCUACGUUUGUAAAGUACCCCCGAUAGCCCAAGUAAACAGAUCCAUGCCAUGACAGUGCCAGGGAACGGUUGGAGGGGACUGAAGACAAGAGUCCACGACUGACCUGUGAGAUAUUGGACGAGCACAACCCGUGGACCUUGAGUGAGAACCUUCUCGUAAUCCCACUAUUCUGAAAUCUCACCAGAAAAUGGUCGUUUUCAACGUCCAUAAGUUGAAAUGAAUGAGUUGGUUUCCAAAGGCUAAAAAUCCUAUUAUGAAAUGUAGUAUAAGCCAAAUUCCUACCUAACAGUUUCACCACCACCGUUAAGGCCAUAUCCCUUAUUAGAAUUUUCUGUAACCGGUCAGAAAAAUUUAUUGUUGGUAUUCCAUUAACCUUAGAUUUCGUGAAAUAUCCCUCCUAAAAUUCAAUCUCCUCUUCUUGUACCGACUCCAAAGAACCUUUCCCAACUACUUUAUCCCUCUAGGUCAUCGGUGCCAAAGGGGAUGGAUCCACGUCUAUAACACCCCUAACCCGUCUCUAUCGCCGGUAUAGGGUUAUGGAGCAUUACCAUAAAAUCAGAAAUAUUUAAACAUCCUAACAUUCAAUAAUUUAAAUAUAUCUUAAACCAUUCAAUCACAUACAUUUUGUCCCUAAAUCGAGCAUUUGAGGCCCUAAAAAUAGCUUGGAAGCAAUUCGGGACUAAUUUGCAACAAAACAAAAAGUUUAAGAAUAAGUUGCAAAAUUUGAAAAACAAGGGUCACACGCCUGUGUGGCCAGGCCGUGUAACUUUCAAACAAGGGACACACAGCCGUGUCCCAACCUAUGUCCUCACCCGUGUAACUCAUUGAUUAGGUUCACACGAUCGUGUCACACACUUAUGUGUCAGGCCGUGUAACUCACUGACUUAAACACUAAGAAAUUCAUAUAUGACACACGGCCGUAUGACAGCCCGUGUCUUAGGCCGUGUGAAUCUAAAAUAUGCCUAAAAUCAAGUCAUUUUAUAACCAAACUAUGCAUAAAUAUACAAUCCAAUUGUGCACACCUUCAAGUAACCUAAACAUCAUCCAAAUACAUAUAAAGAUGUCAUUUCAAAGACCCUAAUUCAACUAAACAAUAUGCCAUUCAAAAGCACCACAAUUAUAUCAAACAACAACUAUCAAAACAUGUCAAUGUUGUCUCAUUUCAUGCAUGAUAACCUAUUUCAACUAUAUACCAAAACAUACCAAAAAUAACCAUUUUCAAACCAUUCUAAACAUACCAUAAAGAGCCUUAUUUACAAGCAUUAACAAGUAACCAAAAAUGACAAAGUUUGGUAAACAUUAAAGUGCACCAACCAAACAUAAUCCUCAAGACUUUAACAUAUCAAAGCACCUUUACAAAACAUCCUAUACAUGUCAUUAUUAAUCUUGCCCAAAAUAUACAAAAACUACCAAAAAGACUUCUGGAUAGUGUGAUAGAUCUCCGAUAAGGUUCCAAAUCGAUCGAGUUUCCGAUAAUCUAUAAAACAAAGGAAAGAAACUAUGUAAGCAGUGAGUGUUUAAUAAGCUCGUAUAAACUUAAACAUAACUUACCAUUUUAAUAAUGCAAUAUAUAGAUUAAACAAAUUCAACACCAACGUCAUAAGCUUAGCAAAGCCUAAUCAACAUCACCAACUCACAAGUUAGUAUAUCUAUCCAUAACAUAAUUGAAAUCAACUAUAAGACAUGUAAAUUUCUAUAUGUACAACAUCAUUUAGUUCAUAAAUCCUUUCACUAAGUCAUGAUUCACUCCAUUUGCAUACUUACCAUUUCGUUCCCUUUUCUUACCCGUUGAGCAAUCUAAAGUUACAUUGAAUACUCGGGAAAGCUCACACGAAGUGUGCCUUUACAUAUAACCAAAAAUCUUUCCUUUACAUCAAUACUCACACGAGCUGUGAAAUGGGUCUACUCACACGAGAUGUGGGUCAAAAUGUAAACUACAUGAUGUAAUCACACGAGCUGUGGAGAAUCUGUAACAAAUGCAAGACCUCAGCCAUCAGUGGGACAUUCAAGACCAGCACCCGAAACAUGAAAUCCCUACUGACAUGUCAUUUGUAUCCUAAGAAUCUCUAAGGUUCAACCGAGACUCGAUAUCCGUCAAUUCAUCAUAGCAUUCAUACAUUGAUACAUUUGUAUUUUGAUUCAUUUACAUGAAAAAAAAACAUAAUAAACAUUCAAUUUAAACAACAUUUAAACUAUUACAGUUCAUACAAACUUACAUUGAUAACUAGGGCGUAGAAGUAAGAUCGAGCUAAUCUGAAGCUUUAGCUUUUCCUCGAUCUAAUUCUGAAUGUGGUUUAUCUUGAUCUAAAUAGAUAUUUUCAAUCAAUUAAAUACUUUUAAUAUUCGAUUUAAUCCAUAUGUCAUAUUUAUAAAAAAUUAUCAAUUUUCCCCUAACAUUUUAACUUUUCACAAUUUAGUCCUUAAGCUUAUAACUUCAAAUCUAACCAUUUUAAUCUAAAUCCAUGUUAACCAUAGAUACAAGGGACUUUGAAACAACCUAUAUCUACCACCAUUUCACAAUAAAACCCUAGAAUUUAUAUCUUUAACAAAUUAAUCUCUAUUUCCAAAAUUCAUCAAAAUCACUUUAAAAAAACUUGUUUAUUUUUCAACAAUGAUUCAUAAUCUAUCAAUUAACAUCAAAACUCAUUCAAAAACAUUGAUGGUAAGUCCCUCAACCUUUAACAAUUUUACAAACUAACCCUCGGGCUAGCUAGAUUAAGCUAAAACAAACUUAAAAACAUAAAAAUCAUUAAAAACGGGGCUUGAAUUUAUACCAUGCAAGAAGAAAACAAAACCGAAGCUUUCCCCUCUUCAAUGGUGAAAUUCGGCCAAGACAAGUGAAAAUGAGAAAGAUGAUAACUUUGUUUCAUCUUUCUUUACUUAAAUUUUCUUUUAAUUACACAAUUGCCAUUUUAACCUUUAAAAACUAUUAAAAUUUCAACAAAACCUUAUCCAUGCACAUCCACUAACACCUUAAAUGGUUUAUAUAUCAUUCAAGUCUUUUAGUUUAAGAUUUCAUAACCAAGAGACCCCUUUAACUAAUAGAACUUAACUUUUACAACUUUUACGAUUUUGUCCUUCCUACUUAAUUAACUACUUAAACAUCAAAAUUUCUUAACGAAAUUUUAAUACGACCUUAAUAUAUUCCUGUAGAUAUUAAAUAAAUAACAAAAUAAUAAUUUACUCGUCGAAAUUAUGAUCCCAAAACUACUAUUAUCGAUAUCACUAAAAACGGGCUGGUACAACAAUCAUCUCAUUAACCAAGUCUAACUCCACUUCCUUGAACCUAACCUUUUUGGUAUUCCUGUCCUCAAUCGGAAUAUUAUUUCCAUCACCGUCAGCCAAGAUUUCCAUUGAGAACGAGAGUAAUUUUCCUUUUAUAUAUUCAAUGUUUCUUUUAAAUAGCCUUUUGUUUUAUAUUUAUAUCAUUGUACACUUCUUGAUCCAUUAUUAUUCACAGUACUGUAUUUAAAGAAAAACUAAAAAAUAUAUGCUUCAAAGGCUAGAUUGAUAGAGCAAUUCAAAAUGAUGUAAAACUCUCUACAAUUAAGCCGUUGUUGUCCCAUUGUCUGUUUCACCUUGACAACCAUGAUUAACUCAAGUCUCACAUAAAUUGAAUCCUUGAAUUACGAGGUAACUAUGUGGUGGAAGAGGUGCAGUAUGUUCUGAAACUUUGGCCUGCUUUGUUAUAGCUCCGGGACACAUCUGACACCAAACAUCAAGGAAAUGUGUGGGGAAAGGAGGGAUGGAAACCCCAUUUGAUUGGCCAAAGAAAUAUGUCAAUGCCUCGUUUCUUUCAUUUUGAUUAGGUAGCCAUUAAAAUUUUCAUUUCACUCAACGUUGGAACCUUAUUGUCAAUUCCACCUUUGGGGAAGCAUACAACACCAUAAACGAUAAAAUCAUUUUCUCAAAAAUAAUUUAAGAUUGACAAAAAGACCAUCAAGUUUCAAUAAAAACAUGCAAAUGAUUAUGCGAAAUUACAAACUAUAACAGUGAACAACGAAGCCCAGCUUGUAAUUUUGGCAGAGCCCUACAAUUUUCCCCUAAUUAAAAACCUAGGCACUAAAUCAUCUAACCGCCAAAUCCAUACAAAGUCCUACCCUGCCUCUUCAGUGCAUAAACCACAUCCAUGGCAGUCACCGUCUUUCUCCUGGCGUGUUCGGUGUAGGUAACAGCAUCGCGAAUCACGUUCUCCAAGAAUAUCUUGAGAACUCCGCGCGUUUCCUCGUAGAUCAAGCCGCUAAUACGCUUCACUCCUCCCCUACGUGCCAGGCGUCGAAUAGCCGGCUUUGUGAUGCCCUGGAUGUUGUCACGGAGAACCUUACGGUGGCGCUUCGCUCCUCCUUUGCCCAGUCCCUUGCCGCCCUUCCCUCUUCCUGACAUGUUCGAUAUCCAACCAAAUUUAAGAGACUUCAACGAUUUGGAUAAUAAAAUUGGAAAUUUGAGGAGCGAAACAAAAUUGCGAGGUAUUUUAUAGCGGGAACUGGGGAGUUUUUUGUUUAGAUAGUGAUCCAUGCGAUUUCUCUAUUUUACAGUGCCCGUUGACUACUCGUAAUGGAGGGUUCAGAUGAAGAGAAAUAUCGGCGUGGAUCGAUGACCUGGAUUAUUGGGAGUUAUUUUUAAGGUGAUAGGUAUCAAAACAGCAAAUACUUUAUAAUUUUCAGAAAAUACUUUAUACCAAAUGCAUUUUCUAUAUAAUUUUGAUUUCUCUGGUUUGUUGGUUGAAUGCUUACCUUUUUUAUUUUUAGGUUUUAAAUUUGAAUCUCCUCUAAAUUUGAUCAUGGGUCGGGUCAUCCGGCCCGACCUGAAGGCCAGCCUGAAAU